GAUGAACGCUGGCGGCGUGCCUAAUACAUGCAAGUCGAGCGAACGGACGAGAAGCUUGCUUCUCUGAUGUUAGCGGCGGACGGGUGAGUAACACGUGGAUAACCUACCUAUAUGACUGGGAUAACUUCGGGAAACCGGAGCUAAUACCGGAUAAUAUUUUGAACCGCAUGGUUCAAAAGUGAAAGACGGUCUUGCUGUCACUUAUAGAUGGAUCGCGCUGCAUUAGCUAGUUGGUAAGGUAACGGCUUACCAAGGCAACGAUGCUUAGCCGGCCUGAGAGGGUGAUCGGCCACACUGGAACUGAGACACGGUCCAGACUCCUACGGGAGGCAGCAGUAGGGAAUCUUGCACAAUGGGCGAAAGCCUGACGGAGCAACGCCGCGUGGGUGAUGAAGGUCUUCGGAUCGUAAAGCUCUGUUAUUAGGGAAGAACAUAUGUGUAAGUAACUGUGCACGUCUUGACGGUACCUAAUCAGAAAGCCACGGCUAACUACGUG
rnacentral:rRNA from 1 species